rnacentral:lncRNA from 10 species
UGCCUUGGUUUACAGUUCUAGAAGCUGCUUGAAAGCAAGAGCUAUUGCCAGGCCAGAGAUAAUGUCUGAAUCAGGCACAUAGAAGUGAAAUGAGGAAUUGUGAGAGACAAAUUGGAGGUGAAGAUUCAUGUAUUGCUUGGACACUUUAGAGUAUUCUUUUGUCAUCCAUAUGAGUAACAAGGACCUACAGGAAUCAGCUGCUGAUACGGCCUUGUGUGUUCUGCAUUCUCCUCAAAAGCCAGGUAGGGAAAUAUAUUCAAGACAAGCUGGUGGAAAGGUUCAUCUUUCCUCUGUGUAUCAGAAACGACAGAUUUGGUGACCUUCCACCAAUUUGGUGAGAGUGAAGGCAAAUUCAACGACAGACUUUACAUCAUUAAUGAAGUCAGCAUGAACUUGACAAGUACUUUGAAAAAUGUUUAAUUCAAUGAUAAAGAGCCUGCCCAAGAGUUUAAAAUACAAUAAAAACAAGAACGUACAUCAAUUGUUGAUCCCAUCUGAUGGCAGUCUGUCCUUGAGCAUAUAGCUAAAAGGAUUUUCUCUGUAUCAAGUGGCACAACUACGGUGGACAUUCUGGAAACCAGGUGUCUGUUUGUAUGAAAAUGGUUGGAAGAAACAGAUCAGCACCCACAUCAGCGUAAUGUCUUCAUGGUCUUAUGCUGCAAUAAAGGGAAUGAUGCAUGCUUCACUGCAGAAAAACUAUAACUGCUGAGAAGUUCUUAUAAACCAAUGAUCUCAAAAUUAUUUUGGUAAUUUUUUUCUUCCAAAUAAAAUUAGAUAAACUCUACAUCCCUUCACUGCGCUCAAUACCCACCUUCUGUAAAAAGCAUGAAGAAAACUUCAAUGGACCAACAAGGCUGUAACACUGGGGGAAAUGAUUGAUUUCACUUAAACACCACCACCAACAAAAAAUGUUUAAAAACAGUUUCACGGCGCAACUUUCUCCUUGCUUUUUUUUCUUAUAGUUGGAAUGUAUUUUAUCGUCUGUCAGUUUUGCCCCUAUGAUAUGUCCUCUUAAAUUGGAUCUGUAAGCCCUUCAUAAAGUUUAAUAAAUCUUCAGCAUUUCACCCUAAGGAAAUUAUAUUAAAAACCUUCAAAUGUGAAGUUGGGCCCACAGACACACAGUGCUGGGA